GCAAUGAUGUUUCAUACAUGCUCAGAAUGUGAUGACUGCAUGAUCCACUUCUUUGCUGACG
rnacentral:snoRNA from 1 species